UACGUAGGGUGCGAGCGUUUGUCCGGAAUUAUUGGGCGUAAAGAGCUUGUAGGCGGUUUGUCGCGUCUGCUGUGAAAAUCCGGGGCUCAACCCCGGACUUGCAGUGGGUACGGGGCAUCACUUGAGUUCGGCAGGGGAGACUGGAAUUCCUGGUGUAGCGGUGAAAUGCGCAGAUAUCAGGAGGAACACCGGUGGCGAAGGCGGGGUCUCUGGGCCGAUACUGACGCUGGAGGAGCGAAAGCAUGGGUAGCGAACAGGA
rnacentral:rRNA from 1 species